rnacentral:rRNA from 1 species
UACGUAGGGGGCGAGCGUUGUCCGGAAUUAUUGGGCGUAAAGAGCGUGUAGGCGGUUUGGUAAGUCUGCCGUGAAAACCCGGGGCUCAACCCCGGGCGUGCGGUGGAUACUGCCAGGCUAGAGGAUGGUAGAGGCGAGUGGAAUUCCCGGUGUAGCGGUGAAAUGCGCAGAUAUCGGGAGGAACACCAGUAGCGAAGGCGGCUCGCUGGGCCAUUCCUGACGCUGAGACGCGAAAGCUAGGGGAGCGAACAGGAUUAGAAACCCCUGUAGUCC